GCGGGUACCCGGACCGGCCCGUGUGUGUUACAAUGGACGGACGAGAUUUAAGAUACAUCUCUCCAUCCAAUCUCAACCGCCAGUUUCAACUUAGCCAAGUCCACCUCUCGAGUUCGAGAAGCACCCUCUCAGACUUCAGUCUCUCAGAUUCUCACUCUCCCUCGACUCCCUCGACUCCCUCUCCCUAUCCCUUCCUUCCCUCACUCUCAUACUCUCUCAGUCUCACUCACACACUUACUCUCACAGUGCUCACCGCCGUCGGGACCAACUCUCAGACUCUCACAGCGCUGUCGCGACCAACACAACGGCACCACCUCCGCCGUCGCGACCACCAUCAUCACCCCAUCACCACCGCCGUCGCGACCACCUGCUGCUACUAAAAUUUAGGCACUCCAUGGACUGAAGAUGAACAUACUAACUACAUAGCUUGGUAAAGGUGAUUGGCUGACGAUAUAGGUGCCAGCAUUGGUCUUCUUUAAAUUGAAAAUAAGUGAUUUAGUUUAGACUUACAUUUACCAUGGGUAGUGAGUUUAAUUGUUCGCUCUUUAUGCCCAUUUGCUCUUUAUGGUUAAUUGUGUUCACUUUGUUCAUAGUUUUUUUUGCUUAGUUAACUCAGCAUUUUAGUUACUGUAUAGUUAUUUGUUGGAGAUUUUGGUAGUGAGUUUUUAAGUGAUCUAAUAAUUCGGUUUUCGAUUUUGCGCAUAUUUAGGUGAACUUGAUCAUGGGUUUUGGAUUUUUUUGUAUAAAUAAGGGAAUUUGAUAUUGGAUUAAUGAUAUUUGUGUAUAUUUUUGGUGAAUUUUGUAUGGGGCUGUUUAUGUUUAUGUUUGUGUAAAUGACAAAAUGUUGAGGUGAAUCUGAUGUGGAGAUUUUGGUUUUUAGGGGUUUAGGAGCUGGUGAGUCUGUAGAAUAAGCUAAUUUCUUGACCCGUUUCGUAAAAUUUGCGAUAGGGAUUGGUAUGUAAUGUUAUGAGGGAGGGGCAUCUGAUUUCUGUGCUUGGAUCUGUGAUUAGUAUUUGAUUAAGUGCAUCAUACUGGAAUCUGUGUAAACUGCAAUCUGUGCAGUUUGAAACAAUCUGUGUAAACUGCAAUUUGUGCAGUUUUUUUCAAACUGCAAUAUGUGUAAACUGCAAUCCGUGCAGUUUAAAAACUGCAAUCUGUAAAUUAAGUGCAUCAUACUGGAAUCUGUGUAAACUGCAAUCUGUGCAGUUUGAAACAAUCUGUGUAAAUUGCAAUUUGUGCAGUUUUUUCAAACUGCAAUAUGUGUAAACUGCAAUCUGUGCAGUUUAAAAACUGCAAUCUGUAAACUGUAAUCUGUAAACUGCAAUAUGUGUAAACUGUAAUCUGUAAACUGUAAUCUGUAAACUGCAAUAUGUGCAAUUUAAAAACUGCAA